rnacentral:rRNA from 1 species
AAUAGAUACCCGGGUAGUCCACGCCGUAAACGGUGGGUACUAGGUGUGGGUUUCCUUCCUUGGGAUCCGUGCCGUAGCUAACGCAUUAAGUACCCCGCCUGGGGAGUACGGCCGCAAGGCUAAAACUCAAAGGAAUUGACGGGGGCCCGCACAAGCGGCGGAGCAUGUGGAUUAAUUCGAUGCAACGCGAAGAACCUUACCUGGGUUUGACAUGCACAGGACGACUGCAGAGAUGUGGUUUCCCUUGUGGCCUGUGUGCAGGUGGUGCAUGGCUGUCGUCUGCUCGUGUCGUGAGAUGUUGGGUUAAGUCCCGCAACGAGCGCAACCCUUGUCUCAUGUUGCCAGCACGUGAUGGUGGGGACUCGUGAGAGACUGCCGGGGUCAACUCGGAGGAAGGUGGGGAUGACGUCAAGUCAUCAUGCCCCUUAUGUUCCAGGGCUUCACACAUGCUACAAUGGCCGGUACAAAGGGCGGCGAUGCCGUGAGGCUUAGCGAAUCCGUUUAAAGCCGGUCUCAGUUCGGAUCGGGGUCUG